rnacentral:rRNA from 1 species
CAGCAGCCGCGGGAAUACGUAGGUGGCAAGCGUCGUCCGGAAUUAUUGUGCGUAAAGGGCUCGCAGGCGGUUUCUUAAGUCUGAUGUGAAAGCCCCCGGCUCAACCGGGGAGGGUCAUUGGAAACUGGGAAACUUGAGUGCAGAAGAGGAGAGUGGAAUUCCACGUGUAGCGGUGAAAUGCGUAGAGAUGUGGAGGAACACCAGUGGCGAAGGCGACUCUCUGGUCUGUAACUGACGCUGAGGAGCGAAAGCGUGGGGAGCGAACAGGAUUAGAUACCCGUGUAGUCCCUGUCUCUUAUAC